rnacentral:rRNA from 1 species
UACGUAGGGGGCAAGCGUUGUCCGGAAUUACUGGGCGUAAAGCGCGUGUAGGCGGGACGGUUAGUCGGACGUGAAAGGCGCGGGCUCAACCCGCGAAGGCCGUUCGAAACUGCCGUCUUGAGGGUCGAAGAGGAGAGUGGAAUUCCUGGUGUAGCGGUGAAAUGCGUAGAGAUCAGGAGGAACACCCAUGGCGAAGGCAGCUCUCUGGUCGAACAUCUGACG